UACGGAGGGGGCCAGCGUUGCUCGGAAUUAUUGGGCGUAAAGGGCGCGUAGGCGGCUUGGUAAGUUUGAUGUGAAAUCCCAUGGCUCAACCAUGGAACUGCAUCUCAUACUGCCGAGCUAGAGUCUGGGAGAGGGAAGCGGAAUUCCCGGUGUAGCGGUGAAAUGCGUAGAGAUCGGGAGGAACACCUGUGGCGAAGGCGGCCGACUGGGCCGACCCUGACGCUGAGGCGCGAAGGCGUGGGGAGCGAACGGG
rnacentral:rRNA from 1 species